AUUAGGAAUCUCGCGCAAUGGGGGCAACCCUGACGCAGCGACGCCGCGUGAAGGAUGACGGCAUUCGUGUCGUAAACUUCUUUUAGGCAGGAAGAAACACAUGACGGUACUGCCUGAAUAAGCCCCGGCUAACUACGUGCCAGCAGCCGCGGUAAUACGUAGGGGGCGAGCGUUGUCCGAAGUUACUGGGCGUAAAGCGCGCGUAGGCGGGUCUCUAAGUCUGGUGUGAAAGGUUCAGGGCUCAACCCGAAGAGUGCACUGGAUACUGGGGACCUUGAGUUGGGGAGAGGAGAGUGGAAUUCCUGGUGUAGCGGUGAAAUGCGUAGAUAUCAGGAGGAACACCGAUGGCGAAGGCAGCUCUCUGGCCCCAAACUGACGCUCAGGUGCGAAAGCGUGGGGAGCGAACGG
rnacentral:rRNA from 1 species